CCCUCAUCUAUCAGUUUCGGUGAUCACGUCAUAUAAGGAGGAGUUGAAAUGUGGUUUUGAGACACCCCCCCACCUUAAAAGUCCCUGCACAGUUUGUUUUUAUGCUUACUGGUGCAAGAGUUUAGAGGAACUAAAAAAGGAAGCUUGCAAAGAGAGAUCUGAAUUUAGAUUAGACAGAGACAUUCAAAAGAAAACACAACAGAGAAGUUCUCUGAUGGACAGAAUUCACAAGGUCUGAUAUAACACAUGCAAUGACAAAAAACAAUCAUCAAUUUUUCCCCAUCGCAUCGCCGACCACCAUGUCGAAAAUUCCCCAGUCAAACUGCCAGACGGACAACACCAGCUUGCAGGCCCCGCUGGCUGUUUUCUAUGCACUCUUCUUCCUGUUCGGGUUGUCUGGGAACCUGCUGGCUCUCUGGGUGUUUCUGCGAGUACAUCCAAAGAAAAACUCAGUUCGCAUUUUCCUCAUUAACCUGGCUCUGGCUGACUUACUCCUUGUGAUCUGCCUGCCUUUCCGAGUGGUUUACCAUUCCAACAAUGACCGGAUGUGGUCAGAACUGAAGAUACACUGUUCCUAUGUGAAGCAAACCCCCGCCCACAAACAGCUUACACACGUACAAGAUUCUGCAAGUAAAACGUCAUGAACAUGACUUUCAGAAGAUAAUGAGUAAAGGAACAAGCAUCAUGUCUGUGCAAGGGGACUUCACAAACCAUUCCACAGAAGUCUAUAGUACAGGCAGUAAUCAAAGUAGCACAUGCAUGAUAAAGCCUGAACCAAGCUAUGAAACCGUCUUGCCUUGGCUCUAUCUGGCUUUGGCUAUCCUGGGCCUUCCAACCAAUGGAAUAGUCUUGGUGGAUCUUUGGAGAUCAGAGAGGACACCCACUAUCAUCUUCACUUUGAACAUAAUCAUAUCAGACCUGCUGAUGUGCUGCAGUUUUUUCUUCAGAAUAGCCUACUACAAAGAAAACAUCAAUUGGCAAUCUGGAAGUCCAGCAUGCAAUUCAGCAGAGCUGAUCAUUUUCUCUUGCUUCUACAUAAACCUCUAUUGCAACAUAUGCUUUCUUUUGUGGACCAGCAUUAAUCGCUAUACCACAGUGGUAAAACCAGGCUACGCCUUAUUUCAGGUCUUUAAACACACCCGGUCUUGUUGGAUCCUCUGCUUUCUAACCUGGUUGAUUGUCACCACAGUUGUGGCGCUAGUAUGGAGUUAAAUGAGCUAAAUACGGACUGCUUGACCAAGUUGUCAAUAAUUAUGUUUUCUAUCAAGAUCAGUUCAAUACUAUCCACUGCUUAGGUGUGUCAGCAUUCUUCUUCAUUUUGUGCUUGAUGUUGGUCAGCUAUAGCCUGCUGGUCUUCCAUCUGCAGAAAGUAAGGGGAGGAAGUCUAGUCGGUGCUGGAUAUGGGCCCGGAGGAGGUCUAAAGGUUCGCAGGAAGAUCCUGGCAUCGGUCAUAGUCUUUGUACUCUGCUUCCUACCCUACCACGUGCAAAGGAUCAACUUAUUAAUCUCAGAGCAUGAAAACUGUCAGGUAGAGUACAGGAUUAAAAUAUGCACCAUCUUCAUUGCAGCUCUCAGCUGUUGCCUGCAUCCCGUCCUCCAGCUGGUGUUCCGUUUGCGCUGCUGUCGGGCCAAACGCAACAACAGGGCCAAACCCAAACCUGACAACUCCAAGAGCCUGGACACACCUCAGAUACAUACUUUAAAUGUGACAGAACACAUUGAAGAAACAAAAACAAAUUUAACUGAACUAAGCCACAAACCAACAUAGUUUUGGAAAAUAAGAGAGAAAAAAAUGCUCUGCAACUUUGCUUUUCCUGUGUGAUGCAUGCGGUAAGAUGUGAGACAAGCUAACCUCAGGGAAGUGUGUUUUGUGAUCAUUACUGUUUGGCAGAAGCUAAACCUAUGGCCAGUUUACAUUGUAGCGUGGUACCUCAGCAUACUAACUUACUUUUUAGUACUUUAUUCAAUAUACAGUACAUACUACAACAGUCCUUACUGACUAGAUUGAAGCAACUUUUUCUGUAUUAAUGCCAACUAAACUAUUAUUUCAGUAAGGCUUUGUGUUGAUAUUCUGCUAUUUGCUUUUGUAUUUAUUAAUUUAUGUAUUAAAUAUCUAUAUAUACAUUGCACAGUCAAAUUGCAUUCAUUACAAUUUAACGUUGUUCACAGAUACCAUUUUUCUCAAAAUAGGUUGUCUAAAUUUUCUCCAGAGAUACCACCCACAUUUAAAAUGUCCAGAGGCAGAGGGGAGGCUUAGCCAUCAGUUCCUCACUUCACAACCUCAACACUUUAUGGAACUUAUUAUUUGGUCAUCUUUCUAGGGUAUUUAACAGAGUUAUAAAGGCCGAUCCUAUCAAUGCAUUGUUUGGUGUGGUGCUAGUGGGGCUGAACAAAGUAGUACAAGAGGUACCCCUCAACAUGUUACUUGCAAGAUGUCUGAUUUUACAACACUGAAUGUCUGAGCAGAGCACAUAAUUCUCUGUUAUAAACAGAUCAAACAGCACUGAGGUCAUGCAGAAAACCAGAAGUAGUAACGCUAACUAUAUUAACCAUGGUGUUGUGGCAGAAACAGUCGGAUGCUAUUAAUUAUUAAUGCUAUAAAUUCACACACCAUGUGUAUUACGCAAGGAAUUAUAAUGCACACCCGAGGUGUAACUGAGGUGUAAAUUCAAUUGGCCGGAGUCAAUUAUUGCACUUAUACUAUGGUUACUACAUCUCAAGACAUCGAUCAGAUGAUAUAUUUCAAGGCAUUCUGCAAUUUUUUUGUCCUUAAAACGCUUGUGUGUAGGGUUAAUUCCUUAUGAAUCUCAUCCAAUGCCUGUACUGCUAAUUCCAAAACAUCAUUUUAGACCUAAUAACAGAGGCUUAAUAACAGACUAAUGCAGUUAAUAAUAAAGUUAUUAGAGAGAGAGGGAGAGAGAGAGAGAGAGAGAGAGAGAGAGAGAGAGAAUAAGUGUGUGAAUGGAAAUAAUCUGUCGUUUUUAUCCUAUCGUUUACAAAUAUUUACUUGCUUGGCCAGUGUCACUGUGGGUUCUGGUUAUUUUACUGUUGUAGGCUGUAAAGACCUUUGAAAUAACUUAAAUCAUUUGGUGAAGUGAUAUGGACAAGUAAUGCGGUCAAGACCUGCCUGGAACUAUGUUAACUGUGCGUUUCCCUGAAAAUAAUUGCAAACCUUAAAACGUUCGUCAGCCAAACAGAUUCAAGCAUUCAACAGCCCCAUAAUAUAACAAGAAAUAAAUGUGUAAUAUUAUUAGAAAGUGCA
rnacentral:lncRNA from 1 species